rnacentral:rRNA from 1 species
UACGGAGGAUGCAAGCGUUAUCCGGAAUGAUUGGGCGUAAAGCGUCCGCAGGUGGCUAUGUAAGUCUGCUGUUAAAGAGUGAGGCUCAACCUCAUAAGAGCAGUGGAAACUACAUGGCUAGAGUGCGUUCGGGGCAGAGGGAAUUCCUGGUGUAGCGGUGAAAUGCGCAGAUAUCAGGAAGAACACCCGUGGCGAAGGCGGCUCUCUGGGACGGUACUGACGCUGAGAAGCGAAAGCAUGGGGAGCGAACAGG